rnacentral:rRNA from 1 species
GACAGAGGGUGCGAACGUUGUUCGGAAUUACUGGGCGUAAAGCGCAUGUAGGCGGCAGCGCAAGUCGGGCGUGAAAUCCCACGGCUCAACCGUGGAAGUGCACUCGAAACUGCGCAGCUAGAGUCCUGGAGAGGAAGGUGGAAUACUUGGUGUAGAGGUGAAAUUCGUAGAUAUCAAGCGGAACACCGGUGGCGAAGGCGGCCUUCUGGACAGUGACUGACGCUGAGAUGCGAAAGCGUGGGGAGCAAACAGG